rnacentral:rRNA from 1 species
UUAAGCGACUAAGCGUACACGGUGGAUGCCCUGGCAGUCAGAGGCGAUGAAGGACGUGCUAAUCUGCGAAAAGCGCCGGCGAGGUGAUAUGAACCUUUGACCCGGCGAUGUCCGAAUGGGGAAACCCAGUGCAAUUCGUUGCACUAUCGUUAACUGAAUACAUAGGUUAACGAGGCGAACCGGGGGAACUGAAACAUCUAAGUACCCCGAGGAAAAGAAAUCAACCGAGAUUCCCCCAGUAGCGGCGAGCGAACGGGGAGCAGCCCAGAGUCUGAAUCAGCUUGUGUGUUAGUGGAAGCGUCUGGAAAGUCGCACGGUACAGGGUGACAGUCCCGUACACGAAAGCACACAGGUUGUGAACUCGAAGAGUAGGGCGGGACACGUGGUAUCCUGUCUGAAUAUGGGGGGACCAUCCUCCAAGGCUAAAUACUCCUGACUGACCGAUAGUGAACCAGUACCGUGAGGGAAAGGCGAAAAGAACCCCGGCGAGGGGAGUGAAAAAGAACCUGAAACCGUGUACGUACAAGCAGUGGGAGCACCUUCGUGGUGUGACUGCGUACCUUUUGUAUAAUGGGUCAGCGACUUAUAUUCUGUAGCAAGGUUAACCGUAUAGGGGAGCCGAAGGGAAACCGAGUCUUAACUGGGCGUUAAGUUGCAGGGUAUAGACCCGAAACCCGGUGAUCUAGCCAUGGGCAGGUUGAAGGUUGGGUAACACUAACUGGAGGACCGAACCGACUAAUGUUGAAAAAUUAGCGGAUGACUUGUGGCUGGGGGUGAAAGGCCAAUCAAACCGGGAGAUAGCUGGUUCUCCCCGAAAGCUAUUUAGGUAGCGCCUCGUGAACUCAUCUUCGGUGGUAGAGCACUGUUUCGGCUAGGGGGCCAUCCCGGCUUACCAACCCGAUGCAAACUACGAAUACCGAAGAAUGUUAUCACGGGAGACACACGGCGGGUGCUAACGUCCGUCGUGAAGAGGGAAACAACCCAGACCGCCAGCUAAGGUCCCAAAGUCAUGGUUAAGUGGGAAACGAUGUGGGAAGGCACAGACAGCCAGGAUGUUGGCUUAGAAGCAGCCAUCAUUUAAAGAAAGCGUAAUAGCUCACUGGUCGAGUCGGCCUGCGCGGAAGAUGUAACGGGGCUAAACCAUGCACCGAAGCUGCGGCAGCGACGCUUAUGCGUUGUUGGGUAGGGGAGCGUUCUGUAAGCCGUUGAAGGUGUGCUGUGAGGCAUGCUGGAGGUAUCAGAAGUGCGAAUGCUGACAUAAGUAACGAUAAAGCGGGUGAAAAGCCCGCUCGCCGGAAGACCAAGGGUUCCUGUCCAACGUUAAUCGGGGCAGGGUGAGUCGACCCCUAAGGCGAGGCCGAAAGGCGUAGUCGAUGGGAAACAGGUUAAUAUUCCUGUACUUGGUGUUACUGCGAAGGGGGGACGGAGAAGGCUAUGUUAGCCGGGCGACGGUUGUCCCGGUUUAAGCAUGUAGGCGGAGGUUCCAGGUAAAUCCGGUACCUUAUUAACGCUGAGGUGUGAUGACGAGGCACUACGGUGCUGAAGUAACAAAUGCCCUGCUUCCAGGAAAAGCCUCUAAGCAUCAGGUAACACGAAAUCGUACCCCAAACCGACACAGGUGGUCAGGUAGAGAAUACCAAGGCGCUUGAGAGAACUCGGGUGAAGGAACUAGGCAAAAUGGUGCCGUAACUUCGGGAGAAGGCACGCUGAUAUGUAGGUGAAGCCCCUGCGGGUGGAGCUGAAAUCAGUCGAAGAUACCAGCUGGCUGCAACUGUUUAUUAAAAACACAGCACUGUGCAAACACGAAAGUGGACGUAUACGGUGUGACGCCUGCCCGGUGCCGGAAGGUUAAUUGAUGGGGUUAGCGGUAACGCGAAGCUCUUGAUCGAAGCCCCGGUAAACGGCGGCCGUAACUAUAACGGUCCUAAGGUAGCGAAAUUCCUUGUCGGGUAAGUUCCGACCUGCACGAAUGGCGUAAUGAUGGCCAGGCUGUCUCCACCCGAGACUCAGUGAAAUUGAACUCGCUGUGAAGAUGCAGUGUACCCGCGGCAAGACGGAAAGACCCCGUGAACCUUUACUAUAGCUUGACACUGAACACUGGUCCUUGAUGUGUAGGAUAGGUGGGAGGCUUUGAAGCGUGGACGCCAGUCUGCGUGGAGCCGACCUUGAAAUACCACCCUUUAAUGGCUGGUGUUCUAACGUAGACCCGUAAUCCGGGUUGCGGACAGUGUCUGGUGGGUAGUUUGACUGGGGCGGUCUCCUCCCAAAGAGUAACGGAGGAGCACGAAGGUUAGCUAAUCCUGGUCGGACAUCAGGAGGUUAGUGCAAUGGCAUAAGCUAGCUUGACUGCGAGAGUGACGGCUCGAGCAGGUGCGAAAGCAGGUCAUAGUGAUCCGGUGGUUCUGAAUGGAAGGGCCAUCGCUCAACGGAUAAAAGGUACUCCGGGGAUAACAGGCUGAUACCGCCCAAGAGUUCAUAUCGACGGCGGUGUUUGGCACCUCGAUGUCGGCUCAUCACAUCCUGGGGCUGAAGUAGGUCCCAAGGGUAUGGCUGUUCGCCAUUUAAAGUGGUACGCGAGCUGGGUUUAGAACGUCGUGAGACAGUUCGGUCCCUAUCUGCCGUGGGCGCUGGAGAAUUGAGGGGGGCUGCUCCUAGUACGAGAGGACCGGAGUGGACGCAUCACUGGUGUUCGGGUUGUCAUGCCAAUGGCACUGCCCGGUAGCUAAAUGCGGAAAAGAUAAGUGCUGAAAGCAUCUAAGCACGAAACUUGCCCCGAGAUGAGUUCUCCCUGACCCUUUAAGGGUCCUGAAGGAACGUUGAAGACUACGACGUUGAUAGGUCGGGUGUGUAAGCGCAGCGAUGCGUUGAGCUAACCGAUACUAAUGAACCGUGAGGCUUAACCU